rnacentral:lncRNA from 1 species
AAAAAGUGUGAAUGAUGUAACACCCUAUUUUUCUGAUUAGAUAUUUUAGUAAAAUUUAUUUGUUAGAAUUAUGUAUUUUUAAUGAUUAUUUUAUUGUUGGGUGUUUGUGGGGUAUGUAUCCUUGAAUUAGAGGUGAUGAAGGGUGAUAGAAGUGAGUAGAAUAAUUUGGAGUUAUUUUAGUAAUUGAAAAUAAUGUUUAAC